rnacentral:rRNA from 1 species
CACGUAGGGCGCAAGCGUUGUCCGGAAUUAUUGGGCGUAAAGAGCUCGUAGGCGGUCUGCUACGUCCGCUGUGAAACCUAGGGCUUAACCCUGGGCUUGCAGUAGAUACGGGCAGACUAGAGGUAGGUAGGGGAGAAUGGAAUUCCCGGUGUAGCGGUGAAAUGCGCAGAUAUCGGGAGGAACACCCGUGGCGAAGGCGGCUCUCUGGGACGGUACUGACGCUGAGACGCGAAAGCGUGGGGAGCGAACAGG